GACGAACGCUGGCGGCGUGCUUAACACAUGCAAGUCGAACGGAAAGGCCCUGCUUUUGUGGGGUGCUCGAGUGGCGAACGGGUGAGUAACACGUGAGUAACCUGCCCUUGACUUUGGGAUAACUUCAGGAAACUGGGGCUAAUACCGGAUAGGAGCUCCUGCUGCAUGGUGGGGGUUGGAAAGUUUCGGCGGUUGGGGAUGGACUCGCGGCUUAUCAGCUUGUUGGUGGGGUAGUGGCUUACCAAGGCUUUGACGGGUAGCCGGCCUGAGAGGGUGACCGGCAACAGUGGGACUGAGAUAAGGACCAGACUCCUACGGGAGGCAGCAGUGGGGAAUAUUGCACAAUGGGCGGAAGCCUGAUGCAGCAACGCCGCGUGCGGGAUGACGGACUUCGGGUUGUAAACCGCUUUCGCCUGUGACGAAGCGUGAGUGACGGUAAUGGGUAAAGAAGCACGGGCUAAGUACGUG
rnacentral:rRNA from 1 species